UACGGGGGGAGCAAGCGUUGUUCGGAUUUACUGGGCGUAAAGGGCGCGUAGGCGGCAAUUCAAGUCAUCUGUGAAAUCUCCGGGCUUAACUCGGAACGGUCAGAUGAUACUGCUUUGCUAGAGUGCGGAAGGGGCAAUCGGAAUUCUUGGUGUAGCGGUGAAAUGCGUAGAUAUCAAGAGGAACACCGGUGGCGAAGGCGGAUCUCUGGGCCUUACCUGACGCUGAGGCGCGAAAGCUAGGGGAGCGAACAGG
rnacentral:rRNA from 1 species